rnacentral:lncRNA from 1 species
UUUGAAAAUAAAUUAUAUCACUAUUUUUAAUUUUUCAACGUUUAAAGUGUCUGAAAUUUUUUUUUUAAAAAAAUUCAGACAUUUUAAAGCGUCAGAAUAUAUAUAUUUCACCGACACUGCGAUGCAUGGCAUAAGCGCCGGUAUAUAUGUAGCGAUUCUUUAUUUGGCGAUAUUUUUUACUAUAAUGAUAGAUGAUUUGGGAUGCUUUCAAGCAUAAUAAGUU